rnacentral:rRNA from 1 species
AUUGAACGCUGGCGGAAUGCUUUACACAUGCAAGUCGAACGGCAGCACGGACUUCGGUCUGGUGGCGAGUGGCGAACGGGUGAGUAAUACAUCGGAACGUGCCCAGUCGUGGGGGAUAACGUAGCGAAAGCUACGCUAAUACCGCAUACGAUCUAAGGAUGAAAGCGGGGGAUCGCAAGACCUCGCGCGAUUGGAGCGGCCGAUGGCAGGUUAGGUAGUUGGUAGGGUAAGAGCCUACCAAGCCGACGAUCUGUAGCUGGUCUGAGAGGAUGAUCAGCCACACUGGGACUGAGACACGGCCCAGACUCCUACGGGAGGCAGCAGUGGGGAAUUUUGGACAAUGGGCGCAAGCCUGAUCCAGCCAUUCCGCGUGCAGGAUGAAGGCCUUCGGGUUGUAAACUGCUUUUGUACAGAACGAAAAGGCUCUGGUUAAUACCCGGGGCUCAUGACGGUACUGUAAGAAUAAGCACCGGCUAACUACGUGCCAGCCGCCGCAGUAA